GGGGCCGAACCAGGAUCGACGUGUAUUGAAAAGCGCUGUCUUCGCUCGGAAUGGGACCACCGCAACGGCCCAUUACACAAGUGCCAACGAUAACGAAGCACUCGCUAUUGCGGCGUAACCUCACGGCUUAACGGCCUAAGGUUAUUCUAAAAUGCGCGGUUGGGCCACACCGGGCAACAGAAGUGGACUCCAG
rnacentral:tmRNA from 1 species